UGGCUCAGGACGAACGCUGGCGGCGUGCUUAACACAUGCAAGUCGAACGGUGACGGAUGGAGCUUGCUCUGUCUUGAUCAGUGGCGAACGGGUGAGUAACACGUGAGUAACCUGCCCCAGACUCUGGAAUAACCCCGGGAAACCGGAGCUAAUACCGGAUAUGACACCAACCUGCAUGGGUAUGGUGUGGAAAGUUUUUCGGUCUGGGAUGGACUCGCGGCCUAUCAGCUUGUUGGUGAGGUAAUGGCUCACCAAGGCGACGACGGGUAGCCGGCCUGAGAGGGCGACCGGCCACACUGGGACUGAGACACGGCCCAGACUCCUACGGGAGGCAGCAGUGGGGAAUAUUGCACAAUGGGCGAAAGCCUGAUGCAGCGACGCCGCGUGAGGGAUGACGGCCUUCGGGUUGUAAACCUCUUUCAGCAGGGAAGAAGCGCAAGUGACGGUACCUGCAGAAGAAGCACCGGCUAACUACGUGCCAGCAGCCGCGGUAAUACGUAGGGUGCGAGCGUUGUCCGGAAUUAUUGGGCGUAAAGAGCUUGUAGGCGGUUUGUCGCGUCUGCCGUGAAAAUUCGAGGCUCAACCUCGAACUUGCGGUGGGUACGGGCAGACUAGAGUGUGGUAGGGGAGACUGGAAUUCCUGGUGUAGCGGUGAAAUGCGCAGAUAUCAGGAGGAACACCGAUGGCGAAGGCAGGUCUCUGGGC
rnacentral:rRNA from 1 species